AAACCAUGAUGUGGGUACAAAUUCAAAAGAUUCUUAAAUCUUUGCCAUGUUUGAUACAAUGAUUCACUCUCUUUUUGAGAAAAAGUAGAAAUUUGUUGCUUUAAAGCU